CAGCAAGCCUCCAGCAUGCUUGGUCUACCAUGAUCCUGUGUGUUCCUACAGUGCUCACCAGAACAGCUGAGAGAGGGUGUGAGGACUUGCCCUGCUCUGUUCAGAGCAAGGUUAUAGAAAUUUCAUACAAUU
rnacentral:snoRNA from 1 species